rnacentral:rRNA from 1 species
UUGGAGGGCAAGUCUGGUGCCAGCAGCCGCGGUAAUUCCAGCUCCAAUAGCGUAUAUUAAAGUUGUUGCAGUUAAAAAGCUCGUAGUUGAAUUUCGGGAUUCAUCCGUUGGUCGGGCUUCACGGUCCGCACUGGUGUGAUGGGUUCCUACCUUCUGAAUAACCGGCAUGCCAUUAAUUUGGUGCGCCGGGGAAGCAGAACUAUUACCUUGAAAAAAAUUAGAGUGCUUAAAGCAGGCAAGUGCCUGAAUAGGUUAGCAUGGAAUAAUAAAAUAGGACGGCAUGGUUCUAUUUUGUUGGUUUCUAGGAUCACCGUAAUGAUUAAUAGGGAUAGUUGGGGGCAUUAGUAUUCAAUUGUCAGAGGUGAAAUUCUUGGAUUUAUUGAAGACUAACUUCUGCGAAAGCAUUUGCCGAGGAUGUUUUCAUUAAUCAAGAACGAAAGUUAGGGGAUCGAAGACGAUCAGAUACCGUCGUAGUCUUAACCAUAAACUAUGCCGACUAGGGAUCGGAUGAUGUUAAUUUUUUAAUGACUCAUUCGGCGCCUUACGGGAAAC